GCAGGAAGCAUUACGACGUGCAGCCAGCCUUCGCAGUGCAACUCUCCUUGAAACCAUUCACUUCACCUUGCAUCUCGUAACUCUGCUCGGUGCACUCGGCUCAGUGUGCUUGGUUACCGGUGUGCAACGCGGAACUUCGCAUUCUUGUUGUGGACCCCCGGUUCCCUGGUGCGUGUCACGACUCUUAGUUGUGACAGCAUAACCCACUGUUUGCACGCCUAGCCGCACAACUGCAGCCUGGCGAGUAUCUGCUUGGAGACUGAGGAUAUCCCCUCGAGCCAUGGCUUCUUCUUCCAGUACCUGGCAGCCAUGCCGGCACCACCUCUGACGGCCACUACCACCGGGAGCCCGCAUCCAUGCG